GUUUCAGCCGCCGCGGUAAUACGUAGGGUGCGAGCGUUGUCCGGAAUUAUUGGGCGUAAAGAGCUCGUAGGCGGUUUGUCGCGUCGACUGUGAAAACCUGGGGCUUAACUCUGGGCCUGCAGUCGAUACGGGCAGACUUGAGUUCGGUAGGGGAGACUGGAAUUCCUGGUGUAGCGGUGAAAUGCGCAGAUAUCAGGAGGAACACCGGUGGCGAAGGCGGGUCUCUGGGCCGAUACUGACGCUGAGGAGCGAAAGCGUGGGGAGCGAACAGGAUUAGAAACCCCAGUAGUCC
rnacentral:rRNA from 1 species